GAUUGAACGCUGGCGUCAGGCCUAACACAUGCAAGUCGAGCGGAUGAAGGGAGCUUGCUCCUGGAUUCAGCGGCGGACGGGUGAGUAAUGCCUAGGAAUCUGCCUGGUAGUGGGGGAUAACGUCCGGAAACGGGCGCUAAUACCGCAUACGUCCUGAGGGAGAAAGUGGGGGAUCUUCGGACCUCACGCUAUCAGAUGAGCCUAGGUCGGAUUAGCUAGUUGGUGGGGUAAAGGCCUACCAAGGCGACGAUCCGUAACUGGUCUGAGAGGAUGAUCAGUCACACUGGAACUGAGACACGGUCCAGACUCCUACGGGAGGCAGCAGUGGGGAAUAUUGGACAAUGGGCGAAAGCCUGAUCCAGCCAUGCCGCGUGUGUGAAGAAGGUCUUCGGAUUGUAAAGCACUUUAAGUUGGGAGGAAGGGCAGUAAGUUAAUACCUUGCUGUUUUGACGUUACCAACAGAAUAAGCACCGGCUAACUUCGUG
rnacentral:rRNA from 1 species